rnacentral:rRNA from 1 species
UGCCAGCCGCCGCGGUAAUACGAAGGGUGCUAGCGUUGUUCGGAAUUACUGGGCGUAAAGAGCAUGUAGGCGGAUGAAUUAGUCAGAGGUGAAAUCCCGGAGCUUAACUCCGGAACUGCCUUUAAAACUGGUAAGCUAGAGGAUGUGAGAGGUGAGUGGAAUUCCGAGUGUAGAGGUGAAAUUCGUAGAUAUUCGGAAGAACACCAGUGGCGAAGGCGACUCACUGGCACAUUUCUGACGCUGAGGCGCGAAAGCGUGGGGAGCAAACAGGAUUAGAUA